rnacentral:lncRNA from 1 species
AAUGAAGCCAUGGACCCUCACGAUUGUCUACAGCUCCUUUCAUGCAACAAUGGCAGAAAUGAAUGUUUGCAACAGAGACCAGAAAGGACUAAAAUGUCUGGGCCUUUGCAGAAAAGUCUGUGAAUCUCUGGCGUUGAGUAAUUCUGUAAUAUCAGCUCAUUUCAGCAUACAUCUUAUGAUCAGGAGAGUUUAAUACGGAAGAAGAAUGAUACUAGAUCCAUUUUUGAUGUCACACACACAAAAAAAAACACAAGCCAACAGUUAUUCAGAAGGCUGAGAUUGAGAGUCACUGGAACACAGGACUUUGAAGUUGCAGUGAGCUACGAUUGCACCACUUCACUCCAGCCUGG